CUCCCCACGCUUUCGCACCUGUUUCGUCAGUCUUCGUCCAGGGGGCCGCCUUCGCCACCGGUAUUCCUCCAGAUCUCUACGCAUUUCACCGCUACACCUGGAAUUCUACCCCCCUCUACAAGACUCAAGCCUGCCAGUUUCAAAUGCAGUUCCCAGGUUAAGCCCGGGGAUUUCACAUCUGACUUAACAGACCGCCUGCGUGCGCUUUACGCCCAGUAAUUCCGAUUAACGCUUGCACCCUCCGUAUUACCGCGGCUGCUGGCACGGAGUUAGCCGGUGCUUCUUCUGCGGGUAACGUCAAUCGACAGGGUUAUUAACCCCRUCGCCUUCCUCCCCGCUGAAAGUACUUUACAACCCGAAGGCCUUCUUCAUACACGCGGCAUGGCUGCAUCAGGCUUGCGCCCAUUGUGCAAUAUUCCCCACUGCUGCCUCCCGUAGGAGUCUGGACCGUGUCUCAGUUCCAGUGUGGCUGGUCAUCCUCUCAGACCAGCUAGGGAUCGUCGCCUAGGUGGGCCAUUACCCCGCCUACUAGCUAAUCCCAUCUGGGUUCAUCCGAUAGUGAGAGGCCCGAAGGUCCCCCUCUUUGGUCUUGCGACGUUAUGCGGUAUUAGCCACCGUUUCCAGUGGUUAUCCCCCUCUAUCGGGCAGAUCCCCAGACAUUACUCACCCGUCCGCCACUCGUCACCCRAGAGCAAGCUCUCUGUGCUACCGUCCGACUUGCAUGUGUUAGGCCU
rnacentral:rRNA from 1 species